rnacentral:rRNA from 1 species
AACGAACGCUGGCGGCAGGCUUAACACAUGCAAGUCGAACGGAUCCUUCGGGAUUAGUGGCAGACGGGUGAGUAACGCGUGGGAACGUACCCUUUGCUACGGAAUAACUCAGGGAAACUUGAGCUAAUACCGUAUGUGCCCUACGGGGGAAAGAUUUAUCGGCAAAGGAUCGGCCCGCGUUGGAUUAGCUAGUUGGUGGGGUAAUGGCCUACCAAGGCGACGAUCCAUAGCUGGUCUGAGAGGAUGAUCAGCCACACUGGGACUGAGACACGGCCCAG